rnacentral:rRNA from 1 species
CUCGCCCUGUUUUACAAAAACAUGUCUUAAUGUAAUAACUAUAUUAAGUCUGGCCUGCUCAAUGAUUUAAAAUUAAAUAGCCGCAGUAUUUUGACUGUGCGAAGGUAGCAUAAUCAUUUGUCUUUUAAUUGAAGGCUUGUAUGAAUGGUUGGAUGAGGGAAUAGCUUUCUUUAUAUUAAAUAUUGAAUUUAAUUUUUUAGUUAAAAAGCUUAAAUAUUUAAAUGGGACGAGAAGACCCUAUAGAAUUUUAUUAAUAAAUUAUUAAAUAAUAAUUUUGGGUUUUAUUUUUAUUAUUAAUUUAUUAAUUUUGUUGGGGUGACAGUGAGAUUUAAUUAACUCUCAUAAUAUAAUUUAUUAUAUAUUAAUAUUUAUAAGAUCCUUUAAUAUGGAUAAUUAGAUUAAAUUACCUUAGGGAUAACAGCGUAAUUUUUUUGGAGAGUUCUUAUCGAUAAAGAAGUUUGCGACCUCGAUGUUGGAUUAAAAUUAGAUUUAAGUGCAGCAGCUUAAUUUCUAGGUCUGUUCGACCUUUAAAAUUUUACAUGAUCUAGUUUCCAACCCGGAA